rnacentral:lncRNA from 1 species
UAUAGUUAUUUUUGUUGUUGCUUUUUUUUUUCUGAAAUGGAGUUGCGCUCUUGUUGCCCAAGCUGGAGUGUGAUGGCAUGAUCUCAGCUCACUGCAAACCUCUGCUUCUGGGGUUCAAGUGAUUCUCCUGCCUCAGCCUCCAGAGAAGCUGGGAUUACAGGCACCUGCCACCACACCGAGCUAAUUUUUUGUAUUUUUAGUAGAGAUGAGUUUUCACCUUGUUGGCCUAUAGUUUUUAAUGUGGUCACUUUUUCGGGACUAUCAGAAGACCUUGAGUUUUCUAUUGUCUCAUGAAAGGUUUCCUUGCGCUCGGAUGAUAAGGAUCAGGGAUUGGGAGAACACAGCAAGUAACAUGCUGUUCACACAAGCAACUUUUAUUGUUUUUACAAAAAUAAAAUUAUAUUAUGUUGUAGUACGCUUUUUUUUCACUUAAUAAAUUGUGGACUUUUUCCAACAUUAUUUUGAUGGUUACUGUUUUGGGUUGAAUCGUGUCUCCCAAUAAUUUAUGUCCACCCAGAACCUGUGACUGUGACCUUAUUUGCACAUGGAGUCUUUGCAGAUGUAAUCAAUUUAUAAAGGAAACAAGUUUAUUCGGCUCACAAUUCUGCAGGCUGUGUAGGAGGCAUGGCACCAACACCUGCUUCUAAUGAGGGCCUCAGGAAGCUUCCGCUCAUGGUGGAAGGUGAAGGGGAGCUGAACUGUGUGAAGAUCACAUGGCAAGGGAGGAAGAAAGAGACAGAGGAAGGAGGUUCCAGGCUUUUUUGAACAACCACCUCUCGCAGGAACUGAUUGAGCAAGAACCCAGUCAUUACUGCAAGGACAGCACCAAGGCAUUCAUGAGGGGAUCCAUCCCCAUGACAGAUGGUCAUGGGUAUUUAGAAAUCAGGGUUGCUUUAGAAGCCUCCCAUUCUGCCCUACCUCCAACACUGGGGAUCAGAUUUUCACAUGAGAUUCGGAGGAGACACACAAACCAAACUAUAGCAUGAUGGAAUGCCAAGGAUUGCCAGUGACCACCUAAAGCUGUGAGAGAUGUAUGGAACUGGUCCUGCCUCAAGGCUUUUCAGAAGCAGCUUGGCCAUGCCAACAUCUGCAUUUCAGACUCUGGCCUCCAGAACUGGGAGAGAAGAAAUCUUCAUUGUUUUAAGUGAUCCAGUUUGUGGUCAUUUGUUAUGGAAGCCCUCAGAAAAUAAUAUAGCUACUUAGCACUGUAUCACAUGACUCUAUUAAACAUGUUUAACCAAUUCCCUAACAAACACUGGUUUGUUUUUCUUUUCUUUUCUUUUCUUUUCUUUUUCUUUUUUUUUGAGAUGGAGUCUCGCUCUGUCACCCAGGCUGGAGUGCACUGGUGUGAUCUUGGCUCACUGCUACGUCUGCUUCCCGGGUUCAAGCAGUUCUUGUGCCUCAUCCUCCUGAGUAGCUGGGAUUAAGGUGUGUGCUGCCACACCCUGCCAAUUUUUGUAUUUUUAGUAGAGAUGGGGUGUUACCAUGUUGCCCAGGCUGGUCGCG